UAAAAUGUUUUGAAAAGAAGAGUAGUAAAGUGGAGUGUCUAAAAGAGAUCCGGGGAAGGUGAAAGCCGGAGUCAAGAAGCUUUAUGAACAUGGUCUUGGAGCAGAUUUUCUGAGCCUUAAUAUGGUUAGGAAAAUACGGGAGCAACCGUUAUAUUGCAAGGUGAUAAAAGCUAGAUAUUUCUGGCGGAGUCACUUAAUGAGUCGUCUUUUGUGAAAAAGAUGAAAAAUAGAGUGGUAACGCGAAUAAUACGCCUCUAUA
rnacentral:ncRNA from 1 species